rnacentral:rRNA from 1 species
CCCUAUUAUUUUGGGAUGUUAAAUUUUGUGCCUGAGUAGUAUUAGUUAUGUUCUUGAAACUUAAAGAAUUUGGCGGUAUCUUAUUCCAUUCAGAGGAAUCUGUCUCGUUAUCGAUAGUCCACGUUGGACCUUACUUAGUUGCUUUGGUUUGUAUACCGCCGUUUAUUGAUUAUCUUUUUAGGGUUUAUUUAAUUUUCUAUUUUCUUUAUUUUGAUUUAUUUCAGGUCAAGGUGCAGCUUGUUUCUAAGUGGAAUGAUGGAUUACAUUGUUAUUUGUUUAUUGGAUUGUUGAUUUUAAUAUUGAUAUGAAAUUGGAUUUGGUUGUAAUGUUUUGUAGAUUGUUUUCAUGAUAAUUGGUUCUGGGAUAUGUACACAUCGCCCGUCGCUCUCGUUUAUCUAUUAAUGAGAUAAGUC